rnacentral:rRNA from 1 species
GAUGAACGCUGGCGGCGUGCCUAAUACAUGCAAGUCGAGCGAACAGACGAGGAGCUUGCUCCUCUGACGUUAGCGGCGGACGGGUGAGUAACACGUGGAUAACCUACCUAUAAGACUGGGAUAACUUCGGGAAACCGGAGCUAAUACCGGAUAAUAUAUUGAACCGCAUGGUUCAAUAGUGAAAGACGGUUUUGCUGUCCCUUAUAGAUGGAUCCGCGCCGCAUUAGCUAGUUGGUAAGGUAACGGCUUACCAAGGCAACGAUGCGUAGCCGACCUGAGAGGGUGAUCGGCCACACUGGAACUGAGACACGGUCCAGACUCCUACGGGAGGCAGCAGUAGGGAAUCUUCCGCGAUGGGCGAAAGCCUGACGGAGUAACGCCGCGUGAGUGAUGAAGGUCUUCGGAUCGUAAAACUCUGUUAUUAGGGAAGAACAAAUGUGUAAGUAACUAUGCACGUCUUGACGGUACCUAAUCAGAAAGCCAGGGCUAACUACGUG